rnacentral:ncRNA from 1 species
ACACGAUAAUGGCAAACCUGUCGAAAGGCAGGGACGCAAAGCUACAGGGCCUGUAAAUUUUUUACUGGCAGCCAGUUACCGAA